rnacentral:rRNA from 1 species
CUACGGGAGGCACCAGUGGGGAAUAUUGCACAAUGGAGGAAACUCUGAUGCAGCAACGCCGCGUGGAGGAUGACACAUUUCGGUGCGUAAACUCCUUUUAUAUGAGAAGAUAAUGACGGUAUCAUAUGAAUAAGCACCGGCUAACUCCGUGCCAGCAGCCGCGGUAAUACGGGGGGUGCAAGCGUUACUCGGAAUCACUGGGCGUAAAGCGAGCGCAGGCGGAUAGAUAAGUUGGAAGUGAAAUCCUAUGGCUUAACCAUAGAACUGCUUCCAAAACUGUCUAUCUAGAAUAUGGGAGAGGUAGAUGGAAUUUCUGGUGUAGGGGUAAAAUCCGUAGAGAUCAGAAGGAAUACCGAUUGCGAAGGCGAUCUACUGGAACAUUAUUGACGCUGAGGCUCGAAAGCGUGGGGAGCAAACAGGAUUAGAUACCCCGGUAGUC